GGGCCCGUAGCCUAGCUUGGAUAAGGCGACAGCCUUCUAAGCUGUAGAUCGUGGGUUCAAAUCCCUCCGGGCCCA
rnacentral:tRNA from 1 species